GAACAGCUCUUCGAGUGGGACUUGUGGGCGUACGUGAGCUUUAACCGGCCUCGUUGUUUGCGAUGUUUGUGCUUUUUGGGUGUACUUUUUCGUAUGGUAGGCCAACGUCAGUCUCGGUCACCAUAAAAUGAUUAGAGGAAUGUAGCUUCGAUCUUGUAUUGAAGUGUUAUAGCCUCUGGUAGAUGUGGUGAACGAAACUGAGGAUUGCAACGAAUACCCUUCGGGCUAUCCGUCUGACCUCUGAAAGUUGCUUGGGUGCCGAAAGCUUGCUUACGGUCAUUCAUGAUGACGGUCAAAAGGUUAGAACGUGAUUACAUUCGUUAAGGACGUUGGCGUA
rnacentral:rRNA from 1 species